ACUGCUUUCUUCUUUAUUGCCUUGAUCGUAGCUUUAUUCUUUUCCAACUGUUGCCCAGAUAUGGAGCCCAAGAGGGGGGGUGAAUUGGAUCUUUUAAAAAUUUUUAAGAUUAGUACACUUAGGUAAAGUGCUAAAAUAUUGAGUGAAGUAAGUUGAUUUGCAAAUCAAACACAAAUGAUAGGUAAGCAAGUAUAAAGCACAAAGAAUAAAUAAAGAGAUGCAAGCACAACAAAUAUAAAAUUUAUAGUGAUUCGAUGUC
rnacentral:lncRNA from 1 species